rnacentral:rRNA from 1 species
AUAAAAGGCCUAAAUGCUCCAAAAGUAACAGAUCCCAUCUGGUCUUGGAAGCUAACUGGGGUAAUCUAUGGUUAGUAUUUGGAAGGGAGACCACCAAUGAAUACUAGGUGCUGUAGACU